rnacentral:rRNA from 1 species
AGUGAACGCUGGCGGUAGGCCUAACACAUGCAAGUCGAACGGCAGCACAGGAGAGCUUGCUCUCUGGGUGGCGAGUGGCGGACGGGUGAGGAAUACAUCGGAAUCUACUCUGUCGUGGGGGAUAACGUAGGGAAACUUACGCUAAUACCGCAUACGACCUACGGGUGAAAGCAGGGGACCUUCGGGCCUUGCGCGAUUGAAUGAGCCGAUGUCGGAUUAGCUAGUUGGCGGGGGAAAGGCCCACCAAGGAGACGAUCCGUAGCUGGUCUGAGAGGAUGAUCAGCCACACUGGGACUGAGACACGGUCCAGACUCCUACGGGAUGCAGCAGUGGGGAAUAUUGGACAAUGGGCGCAAGCCUGAUCCAGCCAUACCGCGUGGGUGAAGAAGGCCUUCGGGUUGUAAAGCCCUUUUGUUGGGAAAGAAAUCCAGCUGGCUAAUACCCGGUUGGGAUGACGGUACCCAAAGAAUAAGCACCGGCUAACUUCGUGCCAGCCGCCGCGGUAA